GAAUCUAAUAAAAUUCCUAUCUUUUUCUCUCCUAUCUCUUUUUUAUUCUCUCUCUCUUAUUCUCUAUUCUUCUCUCUUAACUCUCUCUUAUCCUCAAGAGCACUAACCUUAAUCUAAGGGUUUCUGUGACAAUAGCUUAUACAAUUCCACAAAUAUGCUAAGAGGUCAAUUCAACCAAACAGUAACUUGCCCUCAAUCGGUUCAAAAUUCCCCUCAAAACUAACAAAACUCAUUUCCCCUUUUCUUCAGAUAACAGCACUAAUCUCAAACUGUGGCAUCAUUUCAUUCACCUAAGUUCUCCCUCUACCAGCAUUCUGCAUUACAAAAUGGCAUGCACACAUAAAA
rnacentral:misc_RNA from 1 species